rnacentral:rRNA from 1 species
UACACGCUGUGACUAGCAUAUCAAUAAGCGGAGGAAAAGAAACUAACAAGGAUUCCCCUAGUAACGGCGAGUGAAGCGGGAAGAGCUCAAAUUUGAAAUCUUAAAGGGUUUCCCUUUACGAAUUGUAGUUUAAAGAAGUGUUUUCUGUUGAGGUUUUGGUAAAAGUUCUUUGGAAUAGGACAUCAUAGAGGGUGAGAAUCCCGUAUUUGACCUUUACUUUCAACUUUGUGAUACACUUUCAAAGAGUCGGAUUGUUUGGGAAUGCAGUCCAAAAUGGGUGGUAAAUUUCAUCUAAAGCUAAAUAUUGGCGAGAGACCGAUAGCGAACAAGUACCGUGAGGGAAAGAUGAAAAGAACUUUGAAAAGAGAGUUAAACAGUACGUGAAAUUGUCAAAAGGGAAGCGUUUGACACCAGUGUUGUUUUUCUGAAAAUCAAUUAAAGAACUGUUUAUGCUAAGCUGUUUAGACUUUAUCAGCUAACUGUUUAGUUUUGAGCUUUUCUUUAAUGCACUUUUCAGUUAACAAGUCAACAUCAAUUUCUUUUGCUGUAAAAAAGCUUGAGGAAGGUGGCUUGAGAUUCGUCUUAAGUGUUUAUAGCCUCUUGCCUAUGCAGUCGGAGAGAUUGAGGUCUGCAGCGUAGAUCCUUCGGGGCUAAAUGCAUUUGUGCUAAGUUAUAGCAUUUAUAGACAACUUGUUGACUAUGAUUUGUCUUGUAGCUUACUCGCUUAUGUUAUUUUACCUACGCUUAGGAUGUUGACGCGCGUGUGUGCGUG